rnacentral:rRNA from 1 species
UACGUAGGGUGCGAGCGUUGUCCGGAAUUAUUGGGCGUAAAGAGCUUGUAGGCGGUCUGUCGCGUCUGCUGUGAAAAUCCGGGGCUCAACCCCGGACUUGCAGUGGGUACGGGCAGACUAGAGUGUGGUAGGGGAGACUGGAAUUCCUGGUGUAGCGGUGAAAUGCGCAGAUAUCAGGAGGAACACCGGUGGCGAAGGCGGGUCUCUGGGCAGUAACUGACGCUGAGAAGCGAAAGCGUGGGGAGCGAACAGG